AGUUUUGCCUUAAUUUGGCAAAAAAAAAACCCACAAAAACAAUUAGUGGUUUUGCAUUAAUUUACCAUAUAAAUUCAAACAGUCGAUUCGUUCACAAAAGAGUCGAUUCGUUCUCGAGCGACACUUCACCUAAGUGCGCGCGCCUUGGCUACCGGGAGCGCGUAUCCUCCUCCGGCGAGACUGGCGAGAGAAGCGGGCCAUCGCUGCCCCGACCGCGAGCACUGAGGACAUCAUGAGCUCCAGAAAAGUGAUGGCUAUCCAGGCUCGAAAAAGGAGGCCGAAAGGGAAGAAAGACAAGACGACUCACCAUCGAAGGCAAGUAAUGAGGGGCGGCGGUCGGUUCGCGGUGCGACUUGUGUGUGUUUGUGUCCGACAGCGAGUGAUGCAGUCAACAUCACAGGGCUGUUAAUGUGGACAGUGUCGGAUCUCUGGCUGUAUACAGACCUUUAACGGCCAUGUCACACACACACACACACACACACACACACACACACACACACACACACAUACAGGCGAUCGUUCAGCUGUACAGCUCAGUAUUCCAGGCUGCAGUAAUGGCCGGAGCGGAGCGAGUCGGAAGUUGCUCAUGGCAACGGAGGCAGUUUGUGGGUAUGUUUAUUUCUUCCGUGUUCGUGUUUACGUUUCAUAUCGCUGUUGUUUACAUAUAAAUACAGUCUGUAUCCACACCGAAAGAAAUGAAUACAUUGUACAUACAGGGUUAGGGGAUGGAGGGGUGACAUGACAUGACAGGACACGACACGACGUGACAGGACAGGACGUGGGCUGUGCACGAGACUUACGCUCUCCGUCUACCGUACUCGGUAGUAUGUCCGCCUGCACUGCUGCACCACAGAUCAGACACACACCGCGCAGUUCAGCGGUUUAGGACGGAGCAGCUGAGUUGAACUGGGCGCGCGUGUGUGUGUGUGUGUGUGUGUCAGACAUGAGUUCUGGGAGAAGCAUCAAGGAGACGCGUGUGUAAAAAACAACAACAACAACAACAAAAAAAGCCCGGAACGUAUUAUACGCUCGCGCAGGGUUGCUGGAAACUGGUCGGUGUGGACAGUGACGUCAGCGGGCAGCCGUUAAGGUGAUUCCCUGUUUCCCGCCACUCUCUCGCGCUCCAGUCCAGAAUGUGCUGGAAUAAACUGCUGAACUGGAAUAGACCUUCACUGAACUGAUGUAGGCGACAAUACUGAUCCCACAGACAGACAGACACGACACACCCCUGACACUCAGACCCAGACCAUAAACAAUCACUAACCCCUAAUUAAGAAAAAAAUAAUAAUAAUGAAAAAGAGUCGAUGGGUGCAUAUACAGGACGGCAUGUUGGCUUAGUCGUUAGCACGUUUGCCGGGGUUGGGGGUUUGAAUCCUGUCUCCGCCCUGUGUGUGUGGAGUUUGCAUGGUCUCCCUGUGCUUCAGGGGUUUCCUCCAGGUUCUCCGAUUUCCUCCCCCAGUCCAAAGACGUGUUGUAGGCUGAUUGGUAUUUCCAGUGUGAAUGAAUCAAUGUGUGUUUGUGCCCUGUGAAAGGUUGACACCCCAUCCAGAGUGUCCACUGCCUUGUGCCCCGUUUUCCCUGGGACAGGUUCCAGGCACCCCCACAACCCUGUGUAGGAUAAGCGGUAGGGAAAAUGGAUGGAUGAAUGGAUGGAUGGAUGGGUGCAUAUACAGUUUUGAUCACAGAUCCUGAAACAACAUUGGCCUGCAGGCUGUGUUCCACAUUGUGUUGGAGAGAGCAGGCUGUGCGUGCUGUAGGCACAGUGAGCCGCGUGACCAACGCGGUCCUUUAAUAGGCACAUUUUCCCUUUGAUCUUGAU
ensembl:lncRNA